CUGUCGCUAUGGGGAUGGCCCCCGCGGUGCAUUAGCUAGUUGGUAAGGUAAAGGCUUACCAAGGCGAUGAUGCAUAGCCGAGUUGAGAGACUGAUCGGCCACAUUGGGACUGAGACACGGCCCAAAACUCCUACGGGAGGCAGCAGUAGGGAAUCUUCCACAAUGGACGCAAGUCUGAUGGAGCAACGCCGCGUGAGUGAAGAAGGUUUUCGGAUCGUAAAGCUCUGUUGUUGGUGAAGAAGGAUAGAGGUAGUAACUGGCCUUUAUUUGACGGUAAUCAACCAGAAAGUCACGGCUAACUACGUGCCCAGCAGCCGCGGGUAAU
rnacentral:rRNA from 1 species